GCGACACUAGCUCAGUUGGUAGAGCGCAACCUUGCCAAGGUUGAGGUCACGAGUUCGAACCUCGUGUGUC
rnacentral:tRNA from 5 species